CGUAGGGGGCUAGCGUUGUCCGGAUUUAUUGGGCGUAAAGAGCGUGUAGGCGGCCAGGUAGGUCCGGUGUGAAAACUCGAGGCUUAACCUCGAGAUGUCAUCGGAAACCAUCUGGCUAGAGUCCGGAAGAGGAGAGUGGAAUUCCUGGUGUAGCGGUGAAAUGCGCAGAUAUCAGGAAGAACACCAAUGGCGAAAGCAGCUCUCUGGGACGGUACUGACGCUGAGACGCGAAAGCGUGGGGAGCGAACAGGAUUAGAUACCCUGGUAGUCCACGCCGAAAACGAUGGGCGCUAGGUGUGGGCGGUGUCGACUCCGUCCGUGCCGAAGCUAACGCAUUAAGCGCCCCGCCUGGGGAGUACGGCCGCAAGGCUA
rnacentral:rRNA from 1 species